rnacentral:lncRNA from 1 species
CUGGGGAUCUCAAUGAAGGUCAAUGCCCUGCUCACUUUUCAGUGGGGUUCUGUCCCGAGCGAUGUUUUCUCUAUGAUUCUAUAACCACUCCUUUUCUGACGGCUGUAUGCAGGCUGUGGAGAGCAGAAGUGCCCGGCCUGCCCAUUGUUCGUACAGAUUCUCCCUGAUGGAGUCUAACCUGACAGUGACCUCACAUCAUGCUACCGGAAGCUCAUCUUGGCUCUGCAAGGAGAACAACGCCAGGUCGUUCUCACAAUGCAUCCAUGAGGAACUGAAUGUUACACAGGAUGCCAGGCAUGUGGUUGGCCUCAAGCUGGGGUUCGUUUGAGCCCAUGGCAGCAUCAGUGACACCCAAAAGGUCGGCAGGAGGCAGCCAUGGAUGUCCUGCGACUCAUCUCUCAGCUGGCUGGCUAGAGACUGUAGUGUUUCACCCACAAUGGUAAGAGCGAGAGCUCCUU